ACUCCUACGGGAGGCAGCAGUAGGGAAUCUUCGGCAAUGGGGGCAACCCUGACCGAGCAACGCCGCGUGAGUGAAGAAGGUUUUCGGAUCGUAAAACUCUGUUGUUAGAGAAGAACGUUAAGUAGAGUGGAAAAUUACUUAAGUGACGGUAUCUAACCAGAAAGGGACGGCUAACUACGUGCCAGCAGCCGCGGUAAUACGUAGGUCCCAAGCGUUGUCCGGAUUUUAUUUGGGCGUAAAGCGAGCGCAGGUGGUUUCUUAAGUCUGAUGUAAAAGGCAGUGGCUCAACCAUUGUGUGCAUUGGAAACUGGGAGACUUGAGUGCAGGAGAGGAGAGUGGAAUUCCAUGUGUAGCGGUGAAAUGCGUAGAUAUAUGGAGGAACACCGGAGGCGAAAGCGGCUCUCUGGCCUGUAACUGACACUGAGGCUCGAAAGCGUGGGGAGCAAACAGGAUUAGAUA
rnacentral:rRNA from 1 species